CAGCCGUAAACUAUGCUCGCUAGGUGUCAGGCAUGGCGCGACCGUGUCUGGUGCCGCAGGGAAGCCGUGAAGCGAGCCACCUGGGAAGUACGGCCGCAAGGCUGAAACUUAAAGGAAUUGGCGGGGGAGCACAACAACGGGUGGAGCCUGCGGUUUAAUUGGACUCAACGCCGGACAACUCACCGGGAACGACAGCAGAAUGAUGGCCAGGUUGAUGACCUUGCUUGACAAGCUGAGAGGUGGUGCAUGGC
rnacentral:rRNA from 1 species